rnacentral:rRNA from 1 species
GAUGAACGCUGGCGGCGUGCCUAAUACAUGCAAGUCGAGCGAACAGAUAAGGAGCUUGCUCCUUUGACGUUAGCGGCGGACGGGUGAGUAACACGUGGAUAACCUACCUAUAAGACUGGGAUAACUUCGGGAAACCGGAGCUAAAACCGGAUAACAUAUUGAACCGCAUGGUUCAAUAGUGAAAGGCGGCUUUGCUGUCACUUAUAGAUGGAUCCGCGCCGUAUUAGCUAGUUGGUAAGGUAACGGCUUACCAAGGCAACGAUACGUAGCCGACCUGAGAGGGUGAUCGGCCACACUGGAACUGAGACACGGUCCAGACUCCUACGGGAGGCAGCAGUAGGGAAUCUUCCGCAAUGGGCGAAAGCCUGACGGAGCAACGCCGCGUGAGUGAUGAAGGUCUUCGGAUCGUAAAACUCUGUUAUCAGGGAAGAACAAAUGUGUAAGUAUCUGUGCACAUCUUGACGGUACCUGAUCAGAAAGCCACGGCUAACUACGUG